GCCUGAUUGGCUCAGUGGGUUAAGCGUCCGACUUCAGCUCAGAUCAUGAUCUCACGGUCUGUGGGUUCGAGCCCCGCGUCGGGCU
rnacentral:tRNA from 1 species